CAAGCUUGCUUGGUGGAUCAGUGGCGAACGGGUGAGUAACACGUGAGCAACCUGCCCUGGACUCUGGGAUAAGCGCUGGAAACGGCGUCUAAUACUGGAUAUGAGGCGUGAUCGCAUGGUCAACGUCUGGAAAGAUUUUUCGGUCUGGGAUGGGCUCGCGGCCUAUCAGCUUGUUGGUGAGGUAAUGGCUCACCAAGGCGUCGACGGGUAGCCGGCCUGAGAGGGUGACCGGCCACACUGGGACUGAGACACGGCCCAGACUCCUCGGGGAGGCAGCAGUGGGGAAUAUUGCACAAUGGGCGGAAGCCUGAUGCAGCAACGCCGCGUGAGGGAUGACGGCCUUCGGGUUGUAAACCUCUU
rnacentral:rRNA from 1 species